AGCGAAGCUUGUCAAUUAUUUCACGAAAAACAAAGAUGAGGAUGAUAAAUUGGGAAGUACACGUAGGGUUUAGUCAGGUUAAUUUCUGUCUGACAUGUUUUAGACUGAAACCAUAAAAAAAAAAAAGAACGACGGUGUUCUUUCAAAACAAAACAAAAAUAUCUCGGGAAUGAAACAACAUUAUAUGAACUUGAUAUAGCAAAAUCAUUGAAACAUUGCUAAUACUAUCAUAUUUUUUUUUAAUUUUUAAAUUGCCCACAUAAAAUCAUGUGACGCUUACCGUAAGAUAAAUUAAGAUUAAUAUUUAGAUUAGUAUACUGUAUUUAUCGUACAAAAAGUCUGCGGCAUAAUUCAGAAUACUGGUUAGCCCAUUUGGUGACCAAGUUCAUCUUUCAGCCGCUUUGCUGCCUAAAAUGUUUUAACAUAUUUUUUUAACCUCAACAUGUAAUGCUUAAAACUGUUCGGGACUUGAAUUGUUUGUUUCUUUCUUAUUUCCUUACUUUUCUUUGUUAGCAUGAAACCUUCAUCUACAAAACCCUAUUCUCCUGCCUG
rnacentral:lncRNA from 1 species